rnacentral:rRNA from 1 species
UGAGGAAUAUUGCGCAAUGGACGAAAGUCUGACGCAGCAAUGCCGCGUGCGGGAUGACAGGGCUAUGCCUUGUAAACCGCUUUAGCACGGGAAGAAAAGCGCCCUUGGGGCGUGGGACUGUACCGUGAAAGUAAGCAUCGGCUAACUACGUGCCAGCAGCCGCGGUAAUACGUAGGAUGCAAGCGUUAAUCGGAAUUACUGGGCGUAAAGCGUGCGCAGGCGGUUAUAUAAGACAGAUGUGAAAUCCCCGGGCUCAACCUGGGAACUGCAUUUGUGACUGUAUAGCUAGAGUACGGUAGAGGGGGAUGGAAUUCCGCGUGUAGCAGUGAAAUGCGUAGAUAUGCGGAGGAACACCGAUGGCGAAGGCAAUCCCCUGGACCUGUACUGACGCUCAUGCACGAAAGCGUGGGGAGCAAACAGG